GAUGAACGCUAGCGGCAGGCCUAAUACAUGCAAGUCGGACGGGAUUGGAGAGCUUGCUUUCCAUGAGAGUGGCGCACGGGUGCGUAACACGUAUGUAACCUACCUUGUUCAGGGGGAUAGUCUCUCGAAAGAGAGAUUAAGACCGCAUAACAUUGCGAUGUGGCAUCACAUUGUAAUCAAAUAUUUAUAGGAACAAGAUGGGCAUGCGGAACAUUAGCUAGUUGGUAAGGUAACGGCUUACCAAGGCUACGAUGUUUAGGGGAUCUGAGAGGAUGACCCCCCAAACUGGUACUGAGACACGGACCAGACUCCUACGGGAGGCAGCAGUAAGGAAUAUUGGUCAAUGGGCGGAAGCCUGAACCAGCCAUGCCGCGUGCAGGAAGACGGCCCUAUGGGUUGUAAACUGCUUUUGCAGGGGAAUAAACCUUGGUACGUGUACCAAGCUGAAUGUACUCUGAGAAUAAGGAUCGGCUAACUCCGUGCCAGCCGCCGCAGUAA
rnacentral:rRNA from 1 species